CUGACCCAGGAAUCAACUAUAAAUAACUCAUAUUAUGAGCAACUUUUUGUAUUGGCCUUACAGCUUUUUGACUUCAUUAGUACACCUUCUCAAUGAGGGUUUUCUGAAAUGUUCUCCGUGAGAUGGCAGCGCUGUAAGUUACAGCCUGUAACGUCAGGUCCAACUACAUACCUGUCAAAACAUUAUUUAUUAUAUAUAUAACAUUAUUUAUUUAUUCUUAAAAACGUUACAAACGGAAUAUUGUUUUCCAAAAUGCCACAGUGUUGUGCAGUGCCUAUGUGUGCAAAUAAAAAAGGAGGACAUAAGUUCCCUACAAAAGAUAAAAGCCGAUUAAAACAGUGGCUUGUAGCCAUUCGUAGAGAUAAAUUUACUCCAACGAAAAAUAGCCUCGUUUGCAAAAGCCACUUCACAGAGGACGAUUACCAGCUACCGAAGGACUCAGUAUUAGAAAAACCCAGACCUGUGUUGAAACAAUGUGCAGUGCCAAGUCGAUUCCCAUGGAAUGAAGAAAAUUCUAGCUUGCAUCAAAAAAAGAAGGAGCGACAUCAAAGGCGUUUGGCGCGAAAUAAAAGGAAAAUUAGUGUCCAAGUACACAUAAACAAUGAAAAAGAGAAGGACGACACAUUCCUCAUGUCAAACUUUUGCGAAGUAGUACUUGAAUACGAGUAGAAACAGAAAGAUAUUGGUAUCCAAUGUGAUUUAUAUGGAAGUGAUAAUCUCAAAACAUUUAAAGAAUGUCCUCCAAAUGAAAACAAAAAAAAAAUCUUCAAUUGCAAAUGUGCUGGAUAUAACCAAUGCGGCCGAAGUACAGUUUUAUACUGGUUUCCAAGAUUAUGAACAUAUCAAAUUCAUAUUUAGUAUUUUUGGAGAUGAAGUAAAUUGUUUAAAAUAUUAUCCUCAACUGAAAACAUUGAAGGUGCCGUUUCUAAACCCUUGUGAUCAAUUCCUUCUAGUGUUAAUUAAACUACGCCGGAACAUGCUAUUUACAGAACUCGCCUUUCGAUCGAAGAUUGAUAAAACGGUACUAAGUAACAUUUUUAUAACAUGGAUCAAUUACUUAUAUUGUAAAUUGAAAGAGUUAAAUGUUUGGGUGCCAAAACAAUGCAUAGAUAAAAAUAUGAAAUACUAUGGCAAGAUUAAUCCAUGCACUGUGAUAGUAGAUUGCACGGAAAUAAAAAUAGAGAAGCCCAAAAAUCCACUUACACAACAACUUACAUAUUCCACUUACAAAUCAGCAAAUACUCUAAAAGUUUUAGUUGGGAUUUCAGCAUCAGGCUGCGUUACAUUUGUGUCCGAUGCAUAUGGUGGAUCUACGAGUGAUCGUGAAUUGUUUGAAAAAUGUGGACUUAUUGAUAAACUUAAACCUAAUGAUAUCAUUCUUAGUGACCGUGGCUUUAAUGUGCAAGACCUAGUGUGCCAUAAAGAUGUUACAGUUAAUAUGCCAGAAUUUUUAAAAACUACUGAUGGACAAUUUGAGACUUCUCAACUGACAAGGUCAAAAAAAAUAUCUUCAGAACGGAUACACGUUGAAAGGGUCAUUGGUUUGGCUAAAACUUUUAAGAUCUUAAGCGGCAAGUUGGAUUCAACAUUGGAUCAAUUUUAUUUUAUUUGAUGUCGCUUUUACCAGUACUGUUUUUAACAUUUUAUUUUUAUUAACAUUUUGCCCAGCUCACCUAUGCAAUUCCUAUCCACAUGCCCAAAAAUAUUUUGCAUAUUUACAUAACAACCCGGUAUUCGAGUCCAACAGCGCAAUUGUAUCGGAACGGGACCCUUAUGCCCGAAAACCCGGCGUCCGGGUUCACUUAAGCCCCGCCCACCGAGCGUAGGGCUACCCAAAAUAAUUUACUAGAAUAUAAUUAUUGUGCAUUUUUGAUCAGAAUAAAGAAAAUAAAUCCCG